rnacentral:sRNA from 1 species
ACAGUUAUGUCAGAGGGGAGUAACUUGAUUAACGUAUUCAGACGUUAAUAACACUUUGUCGUCAUUACGAAGAGGAAAUCUUCCGGUGAAGUGGGCAUAUGAUAUGCU